rnacentral:antisense_RNA from 1 species
CUGGAGUCUGCGAAGGCCGGGACCCGGUUCCCCGGCCCGCCGUGGGGAGUGUGCAAACCCGAGAGAACUGGGAAGUGCCGUCAGAAGCGAUAACUGACGACGUCUAACGUCUAUCUGACCGCAGUCGCUGAAACCUCUACAACUUAGUUGACCGUAACUGCCAGAGCCCUGCCCUGAAUUCCUGUCCUUACUCCCUCUUUCAGAUUGCGUACCCACUGCAGAGGGCUGAAGACGGGGUAGCCACGAGUCAAGUCUUCACCACUUGCUGGUUCCCAGGAGUAAACUUGUGUGAACGAUGACCUAAUUGCUAUAUUCACCUAGGUUGCAAAUUCGUGAAGAAUCAGCAGCAUGUUUGGCAGCUGAGUAUUGGAGCCAGGAGCCUGCCAUGAGGUUUUGAGAACAGGGUGCUGUUUUAGAGCUGGCAGCAGCAUCUCAGCCCAAGAGAAGGUUAUAUUCCCAGAGGAUGUCAGUCCCAAGGACCAGUAGCUGCCAUCAGUUUGGAUUCUGAAAACUAACCGGCAUCAACAUUGGGUGUAGAAACAUGCUUGCCUUGUGUAUCAGAGGACAUGCUCAGCAGAUCCAAGAGAUAUAUUUGGCAACUUUUUCUAGAAAAGGCACAUUAGGUAUCAUUCAUUACAUUCUUGAGUUUUUUUGGGGUUUUUUUUUUUUUUGAGACAGUCUUGCUGUGUUGCCCAGGCUGGAGUGUGGUGGCACAAUCACAGCUCAUUGCAGCCUCAAUCACCCAGGCCUAAGCAAUCCUCCCACCUUGUAGCUGGGACUACAGCUCACAGCACACCUGGCUAAAAUUUUUUUUUGUUG